rnacentral:rRNA from 1 species
AAGUCGAGCGACAGACGAGGAGCUUGCUCCUCUGACGUUAGCGGCGGACGGGUGAGUAACACGUGGGUAACCUACCUAUAAGACUGGGAUAACUCCGGGAAACCGGGGCUAAUACCGGAUAACACAUGAAACCGCAUGGUUUCAUGAUGAAAGACGGUUUUGCUGUCACUUAUAGAUGGACCCGCGGCGUAUUAGCUAGUUGGUAAGGUAACGGCUUACCAAGGCAACGAUACGUAGCCGACCUGAGAGGGUGAUCGGCCACACUGGAACUGAGACACGGUCCAGACUCCUACGGGAGGCAGCAGUAGGGAAUCUUCCGCAAUGGGCGAAAGCCUGACGGAGCAACGCCGCGUGAGUGAUGAAGGUCUUCGGAUCGUAAAACUCUGUUAUUAGGGAAGAACAAGGGUGUAAGUAACUAUGCACCCCUUGACGGUACCUAAUCAGAAAGCCACGGCUAACUACGUGCCAGCAGCCGCGGUAAUACGUAGGUGGCAAGCGUUAUCCGGAAUUAUUGGGCGUAAAGCGCGCGUAGGCGGUUUUUUAAGUCUGAUGUGAAAGCCCACGGCUCAACCGUGGAGGGUCAUUGGAAACUGGAAAACUUGAGUGCAGAAGAGGAAAGUGGAAUUCCAUGUGUAGCGGUGAAAUGCGCAGAGAUAUGGAGGAACAGCUAGUGACGAAUGCGACUUUCUGGUCUGCAACUGACGCUGAUGUGCGAAAGCGUGGGGAUCAAACAGGAUUAGAUACCCUGGUAGUCCACGCCGUAAACGAUGA